CGUGGCCCUCGGUGAGGAUCGGGCCGAUGGCGCGGGGGUCGCCGGCGCGCAGGAGGGCGACCGUGCGUUCGACGCGCUCGUCCUCGG
rnacentral:tRNA from 1 species